rnacentral:lncRNA from 1 species
CCUUAUUACAUAAAAAUCUAAUCUAAGUAAAAAAGCAGUAAAGAAUAUCUUAUUCUAAUCUAUUUGGUCCCUGAAGGACCUUCUCCAAGCUUGGCUCUCUCAACCCCAUCAAACAUGUUCCCCAGAUCGUGCAUGUCCAUCAAUAAGUAAUCUUUUGCUAGCUUGCCUCCUCCAUCGUUGUCCAUGCCUUGAAAAUCCCAAGAUCUCUUUCUCAUGUUUCCUUCUAGCUCGAUCAGUCCUUGCUCUAAAUAUUCUAAUCUCUCUGUCGACUUAGUGACAAUUUUUUACUUUCUCUCAUCACCUCCAUGUUUACUUUAUGUUUCUCCAGAUGUUUUGCUUCAGAAUCAAACACCCUUUUGCGUAGCCUAUUGUACUAAACAUGUGCCUCGGCCACUUCAUCUAUGAUCCUAUCCUUCAUAUUGAGUCCUUGUUUGAUAUCCCCAGCUAUGUCAUCAUCUAUCCUUGAUAGAUAGUAGUGUAUAUGGCCAAUGUAAUACUCAUCUGGCUCAAUUGUUUCUCCUUCCACAAUGAUUUUUUGGUUCCACAUGUGUUGCGCUUCGAACUUGAAUGGGAUGACAUCUCCCUUGAAAUAUGCCAUGUACUAAACCAUGUUGGACACUCGAGGUAUAACUUAUUUUCUUCCAGCUUGCCUCAUUACCUUAUAGAAGUGUACGGGUAGAUGCCUUGCAGAUGAUCAGUACCAAGUGAGUAGCCCCUAUUAACCUAAUGAUGAACUCGCUACUAGAAAAUUAUUCAAACAUCCAAUGCACUUGCUCGUCUGUCAGAUUGUUGAAAAAACUCACUCAACCUACAGCAUUUCUAAGCUUUGCAAACCUGUAUGGAAUAAAUGCCAUUUUAUUUGGUUGAUGAUUGUCUAUGUAGCCAUUCAGUAGCCUUCUCAUAAGCUAUUGAUGAUACUCACCCCUCUGAAAAGUUUCCAGCAGCUAGACUUGUAGCAAUAGAUUACAACCCGCAAAGUGUUCGAACCCAUGCUUGCACUGAUGCAGAGCACGGUACAUCUUAGCUAAGAUCAUUGGGAUGAUAGUAUAAGUUUUUCCUUCGAUACCAUCCAUUAAGGUCCCGGAAACCAUGGCUAAGCGAGUACGAAUCCUUCCUUCUUGCAUCGGGAGGAUCAACAACUACAAGAAGCAGACAAUGAAAACAUAAAAUCGGUGAUGCACCCAUCCUAAUGAGGUAAUGGAUAGUUCAUCAAGAUGAAGACAAUAUGAUUUUCUAUGCCCACAAUGCUGAUAAAGAAACACAACAGGGAUUUAUGAUUUCUUUAGAUAGAGCAGUUCACCAUUCUUCUUAAAACCUAUCAUCUUCAGAAAACCGUGCGGCGUGCGAUUUUCUGGGCCUAGUAGCCCGGGACUAUCCCAUAAUAACUUGGCAAAAACCCCUAUUUCUUCCAGGAUAGGAGUCAUUUCCAUAUUUUCAAAUCAAAAUAACACCUCUUUUCUUGUCCCAGAACAUGGUAGCAGCCUCGAUUAGUUCCCUAUUUGGUCGAAUGUUCAGCAAAAAUGGCAAGUCACCAAGUACUCUCCUGGUAUGAUUUUCUAUCAGAGGGUGCAAGUAUUUCCACCAAUAAACUUGCAAAGGCGGGAUGUUUUGGACCAUACCGAACUUGGAAAUUUCAUGCUUCAUUUUCCGCAAACAAACAAAGGGUAGCCUUUUCCCCUUCCGGAUUUGACUACUUACAUAAUAAUGAUCAACAUGUUGGCACGUUUUCUCCAAGUAAUGCACAUAAUAUGAUGGCGUCCUUUGAUAUCGUGGAAAUCAUGUCGUACUUUGGACAAGGUAUUUAUCUAAAUGGUUUGUAACGUCAACGACGUCUCAAUAAAUACUAAAUUUAGCAUGAUGCAUGUACAAUUCAAAUUGGAGUAUGGUUUCUAGAAACUUUUAGGCGGGUACUCUCAAGUGGACAACUUGAGAGGGAAAGGCACGGGACCAUCGACUGCACUGCUGAUCACCUAGUCUACCGCAAAUAAGCCUUUCCAAUUUAAAACGUAAUUUCAGGAAAGCGCGGAUACUCAUCAAGCGCAACUAUGUUGAUAUUAGGCACAAGUGGGGUAUGAUAUGGAGUAUGCUCUAUGCAUAAAUAGUAACACAUUGCGAAGUAUUUUCAUGGUAAAAGUACGUAAAAACAAUAAUUAUGAUAAAGAUGAACAUGAGUAGAAACCAAAAAAAAAGAACAAAAAGAGAAGUAAGUUUAACUCAUGAAAAUGAACAAGGAUGUAAUGAGAUAGGUCGGGAAAUAGGGACGGGAGAUUUAUAAUUUAUAAGUCUAAGACAAGAUGGGGAGGGGUCAUACAUAUCAUAGCAAUAAAGGGAAACACGGAGGGGAUGAUCAUGUCAUAGCAAUUUAGACAAAUAAAGGAGAAUACGGGAAGGGAUGUGCAUAUCAUAGAAAUUUAAAAAAUAGAUAAAAAUAAAGUAAUUAUUCCAUAUAAGUCAAAUUAGUGUCGGUAAGAGCCUAAGUAUAUUCCCAACAAAACUGGCAUGCGGUCGCGUUUCAUUUUCUCGCAAAAGCAGGUUUCGAUGUCUCACAACUCUUUUAAGGAGGUGUUAGAAGAGAAGAGUCACCACCAAAAAAAUAUUAAGGUGUUUUAGGUCACCUAUUUGCAGGUAACUCUAUUUGAUUAGUAUACACACCAAGGAUCGGGUAAGGGAUCAAAUUACCUCAAAGAGAAGGUGUUAGGCACUCUUCGAGGCCCACAACUGUCGGUCCCAGCCGAAUUUUACAUAUGUGGGUUAGAUCAUUAAGCUAGGUGAUCAAAUAAGAUAUUGAAGUUGAAGACUCAAUUAUAAUAUAAGACAUAAGAAUCAUAAAUGAUUGGCAUAAAUCAUAAAGAUUACAAGGGUACCACUGCAUUGAUCUAUGUUAAAUGACUAAGUGCGAAUAACAAUUAUGUAAAGAAAGGGGGGUCCUAAGUUUUUUAGCCUAAAGGAUCAACCCAUGUAACUUAAUUAAUACUACGCAACUCCUUUAAGGUAGAUGUUGCUUAUAUGCGGGCACAGACUAUCAUCUCCUGCUACGCAAUUACUACGUUGAGUUUGUUACCUAACGGCACUCUAAUUUAGUUCUAAACCAUACCCUAUUUGGGCACAACAUGUCCCAUGCCUAUGGACCAGGAGGAUUUGGACCUACUAUUAGGUAGUUCUAGACUUUACUUAGGGUGCUCAAAAUGAUAAAAGUAGCAUGCAUUCAAAACAUAUAAGACUUCACAUAAAUGCAAGAGAAGGCUAAAAUUAACCCCCACGCACAAGCAACAAAUACACACAACAAAUUCAGGCAAUAGGUAAUUUUAGCAGCAUUACAGUUGUUAUAUCCCAUAGCCAUGGUUUCUAGGUGAUUCUGAUUUCCAGUAUUGACGAGCAGCAGUAAAACUUUAGACUACGGAGUUGAAAGUAUUACAAUCAUAUAGGCAUGAUAUCUAAAUGUUCAUGUAGUAGGAAAUAAGACUAUUUGAAGCCCAAGAUCAACAACUCACAUCUUAUAAAUAGGUAUCUAAGAGGAGUAAUAGCAUCCUACAGCAGGAUUUCUAAUGGUUGACGAUGAGAGUUGGUUUUAGAACAUUUUAUCCUUAUUGGAAUAUUUUGUAGACGGGCAGUGUAAAAGAAGCAUAAAGAAACCGAUUAAUUAUUUAACUCUAUAGUCUUGGUAUCUAGAUGAAUAUAAAUAGGAGCAGGUUUUUAACACGAUCAUAUAGGCAUAAUAUCUAACACAUAGCAUAUAGAGUAAAUUGAGAAAAUAAUCAAUAGUGUUUGAAUCCUACAGGCAUACUAGCGUAUACAAGUGGGACAUGUAAACAAGUGAAACACUUAGAUUCUUAUAGGCAUGUUUUCUAAUCGUACAUAAGAAUAGAACAUGUUGAGCGAGUGAAGCACUUGGAUUCCUAUAGGCAUGCAUUCUAACUUUGUACAGAAAAAAAGCAUAUAAAACAAGUUAGAAAAUAAAACAUUUAGAACCUAUAGUCAUGUUUUCUAUCCUUUCAUGCAAGUAUUAGAAUAUCCCAACUCCUUUUUAUUAACUUUCCCAUCAUUUGUUUUUACAAGUUAUUACAGCUCGAAUGAAAUAAUCAAAUUUGAAUAAUAAUAGAAGAAGACAACUAUAGGCCCAAUGAUAGGCCCGAUACAGAUAACUAAGUGCUUUUCUGGGCCUUCGACAGCUCCAGUAGACUCAGAGCCCAGCUCAUAAGUCCAGUAGUAUGUUUGAAUCCAAUAACCAAGCCUGACAUCACAUAGAAUAGAUACCAAGCCCAAACAAAGGAUUCACACAAGAUUACAAGAAACAGACUAUAUGUUGAACUAACUAAACAGAGCAGGAAAUUCAUAUACUUAGUUCUUAAGACUAUAAAGAUAAUUACCACUAAUACACACAGACAAACUCAUAUGGCGACAAAUUCAUGUUUUCAUUUUAAUGUCUAGGAGACAUGAUAUGUAAGCUAGCAAACCACUCCAAAUAGAUUAGCAAAGUAUAGAAUGAUCCAAAAUUAGCAUAAAAGACAUUAGAUAUAUGAGUUUAAACAAGAAGGUAAUUUUAACCCGAGAGCUUACGAAAAAUGUGGUCACAAACAUCAUAACAACAGGCCAAUGGUAUAGUUUACGUUAGUAGGCAAACAUAUCACUUAGUUGAAAAUGAUAAUUAACAUACCAAGUAUCAAUCAUAGUAUAAAGGUUCAAAAAACAACACCAGAAGUCAUGAUAAGUAAAAAUAUAUCAACUCCAGAUUAGCAGGACAUGCGGGCACUAGGUCUGAACCACCAUUAGGGGAAGAGGCAGGAUAUUGAACCUUAUCCUAAAAGUCUUAGGCAAUAUUAAUGAGCACAGGAGUGAACAGAUCAGGGAGCACACAUUAAUCAUCAAGAAAGCAUGUUUGGCUAACAAUAUGAUCAAGAAUUAUCUCUAGGACAACAGUAAGUUAUACAUGAAUGAUCCAACAUAAAAACACAUUUUGGGCAUGAAUUGGUUUAUCACAUGAAUCCAGAUCAGGGAAGAAAAUAAACUCAGGACAAGAAGCAGAUAUAAGCAUACAAACGUGCUAGGAUAGACAUCCUUAAGAAAGUCAGGAUUAGAGUUAGAAUUUGGGCAAGUUCAGAUGCUAGAAGUAGUAUAAAGCCAAAAGAAUAAACUUAGAGCAACUAGGGCAGCAAAUUGAAAUGAAAUAGUAGCAUAUUGGUUCACAAAGGUUUUAAUGACAUAGAUAUACAGAGCAUGAACAUAAACGACUAGAGAAUAAAACUGCAAUGACCAAAGGGACUUACCAGAUACAAAAUUAACAAAUAUGCAAAUAAGAGGAGAAACUUCCAAUAGUAAUUCAAUUAAUAGUAGCAAAGAGUAGUAAAAUCCCCAAAAUCCUAGUGCAUCAGAGUUCCCAAGAGUCUGAAAUGAACCCCAGAUAGUGCUCCCACUAAUAAAUAACACAAUCAAAUUCUAAUGGCCUUGGCUUUAAGGUCUCAAGUUUCAGAGCACAAUAAAUUAGAGUGAGAGAAUAAUACAGUGAUAAGGUCUGUUAAAGGGGAUUAGGAAAAAGGUUUAUAUAUUAAUCGAUUAAGUAGAUAAACAAGGAAAGAAAAUCAAUCAAGUUCAAGCAAGAAAAAGAAAAAUCAUAUGUAUAGCUUAUUCCGAAUCAGAAUAGGUGAAAAUCGGACAAACAUUAGUUUUACAAGUAGUCAAAAAUUAGCUAAAAUUCUCGAUGAAUCGGACCCAUACGACCUUGUUGAGAGUGUAAAUAGAUGGAUAUUCGUCUGAACCUUAUCGGUUGAGGAUGAAUUCACUCGAUUCGAAGAGGUAAUACAUGCCAAAAUCGGACAAGUACCAAGAGAUACCACGAUUGUAUGAAUGAUAACGAGAUUGUGCAAAUAAGGUAAGCAGAUCGUGAAAGAAUUUCAUGAUUUAGCCGGGUUUUGAGGAGAUUUCGAGUGGGAGUAGAAAGAUUAGAGAAUGCAAAGGCGGUCGGUUUGGGGGAAUGGUCUCUAGGGUUUGGUUGUGGAUAUAAGGAAAUAUGGCGAUUUAUUAUGGGUCGUUGAUCAAUGACCAGGAUUGAAUAAGAAAGGGGUG